UACAGAGGGGGCAAGCGUUGUUCGGAAUUACUGGGCGUAAAGGGCGCGUAGGCGGCCUGCUAAGUCGAACGUGAAAUCCCCGGGCUCAACCCGGGAACUGCGUCCGAUACUGGUUGGCUUGAAUUCGGGAGAGGGAUGCAGAAUUCCAGGUGUAGCGGUGAAAUGCGUAGAUAUCUGGAGGAAUACCGGUGGCGAAGGCGGCAUCCUGGACCGACAUUGACGCUGAGGAGCGAAAGCUAGGGGAGCAAACGGG
rnacentral:rRNA from 1 species